UGAGGUGUGUUCCACAUAUUAGAGUUUUAUUUGUCUUGGGUUUCGUUACAUCAAACCGUUAAGGCAGAGGACAAACCGGUCAGUCAAACCGUUAAGGCAGAGGACAAACCGGUCAGUCAAACCGUUAAGGCAGAGAAGGGAAACAGUCAGUCAAACCCGUUAAGGCAGAGGACAAACCGGUCAGUCAAACCGUUAAGGCAGAGGACAAACCGGUCAGUCAAACCGUUAAGGCAGAGGACAAACCGGUCAGUCAAACCGUUAAGGCAGAGGACAAACCGGUCAGUCAAACCGUUAAGACAGAGAACAAACCGGUCAGUCAAACCGUUAAGGCAGAGGACAAACCGGUCAGUCAAACCGUUAAGGCAGAGGACAAACCGGUCAGUCAAACCGUUAAGGCAGAGAAGGGAAACAGUCAGUUUUGCAGGUCAGCGGUCAAGUUUUCAAGAUAAAGGAUGAUGAUGUGGUAGAUUGACAUCUCUUCUUGAAUUUCCUUCAUCUUGACAAGCCGACCUGCGACACAUUCUGGGAUUGUAACAACAGUGGACUCACGGAAAAAAAAAAAGCAGAAUAGUUUGAGUUGGGUUUUUUUUUUUGUUCUUCCCUACAAAACGUUGAGAAAAGGAGAUGGGAAGUUUAUUCAACAGGGUGCAACAGCAGAGGGGGAAAAAGGCAAUCCAGCAGUGAGAACCAUCGGACCCCCGGUCUUCUAAAGUUCCUCCAGACCAGGCAUGGGGAACCUCCCCGAAAGCUUCCACCUCGCCCCUCAGCUCUGCUACCCGUUCCUGGUGCUUCGCCUCCCCUGCAAGGGCCUCCUUAAA
rnacentral:lncRNA from 1 species